UACGUAGGUGGCAAGCGUUAUCCGGAAUUACUGGGCGUAAAGCGCACGCAGGCGGUCUUUUAAGUUUGACGUGAAGCUCCCGGCUUAACUGGGAGAGGUCGUUGAAGACUGGAAGACUUGAGGCGAAUGAGAGGGGUGAGAAUUCCCGGUGUAGUGGUGGAAUGCGUAGAGAUCGGGGGAAGAUACCAGUGGCGAAAGCGGCACCCUGCGUGACUGACGCUCCAUGUGCGAAAGCGUGGGGAGCGAACGGGG
rnacentral:rRNA from 1 species